rnacentral:rRNA from 1 species
GACGAACGCUGGCGGCGUGCUUAACACAUGCAAGUCGAACGGAAAGGCCCUGCAUUUGUGGGGUGCUCGAGUGGCGAACGGGUGUGUAUCACGUGAGUAACCUGCCCUUGUCUUUGGGAUAACUUCAGGAAACUGGGGCUAAUACCGGAUAGGAGCUCCUGCUGCAUGGUGGGGGUUGGUAAGUUUCGGCGGUUGGGGAGGGACUCGCGGUUUCUCAUCUUGUUGGUUGGGUAGUGACUUACAAAGGCUUUGAUGGGUAGCCGGCCUGGGAGGGUGACCGGCCACAUUGGGACUGAGAUACGGCCCAGACGCCGACGGGAGGCAGGAGGGGGGAAUAAGGCACAAUGGGCGGGAGCGUGAUGCAGGAACGCCGCGUGCGGGAUGACGGCCUUCGGGUUGUAAGCCGCUGUCGCUUGUGACGAAGCGUGAGUGACGGUAAUGGGUAGAGAAGCACCGGCUAAUUACGU